CGGGAUGGGUGAGUAACACGUGGAUAACCUACCUAUAAGACUGGGAUAACUUCGGGAAACCGGGGCUAAUACCGGAUAAUAUAUUGAACCGCAUGGUUCAAUAGUGAAAGACGGUUUUGCUGUCACUUAUAGAUGGAUCCGCGCCGCAUUAGCUAGUUGGUAAGGUAACGGCUUACCAAGGCAACGAUGCGUAGCCGACCUGAGAGGGUGAUCGGCCACACUGGAACUGAGACACGGUCCAG
rnacentral:rRNA from 1 species